rnacentral:rRNA from 1 species
UAUCUCUGUAGAGUCUGCAUAUCAAUAAGCGGAGGAAAAGAAACUAACAAGGAUUCCCUUAGUAACGGCGAGUGAAGCGGGAAGAGCUCAAAUUUGAAAUCUUCAAGGUUUUACCUUGACGAAUUGUAGUUUAAAGAAGUGUUUUCUGUUGAAGUUUCGGUAAAAGUUCUUUGGAAUAGGACAUCAUAGAGGGUGAGAAUCCCGUAUUUGACCAGUUAUUUCCAGCUGUGUGAUACACUUUCAAAGAGUCGGAUUGUUUGGGAAUGCAGUCCAAAAUGGGUGGUAAAUUUCAUCUAAAGCUAAAUAUUGGCGAGAGACCGAUAGCGAACAAGUACCGUGAGGGAAAGAUGAAAAGAACUUUGAAAAGAGAGUUAAACAGUACGUGAAAUUGUCAAAAGGGAAGCGUUUGACACCAGUGUUGUUUUCUCGAAAAUCAAUUAAAAAUGACUGGAUUUUGUGUUGUAUUGACCUUAUAAGCUUUCUGCACUUUUUUCAUGUCUUUUUUAAUGCACUUUUCGUUUAACAAGUCAACAUCAGUUUCUUUUGUUGUAAAAAGGUCAUUGGAAGGUGGCUUUCUUUUCGGAGAAAGUGUUUAUAACCUUUGACUCCUGCAAUCGGAGAGACUGAGGUCUGCAGCGUAGAUCCUUCUUGGAUUAGAUUCAUUUGUGCUAAGUUAUAGCUUUUUAUAGACAACUUGUUGACUAUAUUUAGUCUUGUAGCUUACUCGCUUAUGCAAUUUUACCUACGCUUAGGAUGUUGAACGCGCACAGAGUCUC